CUGACUUUUUUGAACUCCAGCCCACCAGUGACUUUAACCGUCACCAAAGAUUGUUAAGUUCUGUCAUGCAUCUGACUGCAUGUGUAAGCUGUAGAAACUGUGCCGUUAUCAUAUCCAAGUCGGUGUGUUGUGAGGACUGCUGCCCUGAGAACGCUGAGUGCAUUCUGGAAUAUUCCAAAUGUGUGCCACUUCCAUACUGAAUAAGUUCCAAGCCCACAAGAGAGUUCACUCACCAGUGGGCUCCAUCAACUAUCCAGGGCAAUGCCAGUCCGUCUGGAUGGCACUACCUGCUACUUGAUGAUGUCUGAUAGCCAUGGCUGCUGCCUUCAACGUGGUAGCCCUCACAAGUAAACUGAUAUCAAGACUUAACAUAGAUGGUGAUGGUGGCAAGGGUGCCUUCUGAAGGUAAUUAUCAUUUUUGUUUGUACACCUGAUUGACUUACCUAAUUUUUUUGACGCUAUGAUUUUGACCUUUAUCAACAAUAACAAAAUGUAUGACAAUUGCUGUUUUAUUUUUUUAGGUGCUAUCCAGCAGUAAUGCAAUGCAUUGUGGGGGAAAGGAGAAUCACUUCAAACCGCUGUAAAAUAGUACCUGCUUUUUCGUAUUAUAUUCCGUUUUGUGAUACCCAACAACAUCAAAUACAAUGGAUUUGUACAGUUUAAAUGUUUAUUACCAACAAGCAAAUUGUGAAACCUGAACACGGCCUUUAAAAAAGGUCCUCUUUAUCAAAAGAAAUGCACCGGACAUUUCUAAGUGUACCCCAAACUUUAUAAUGGUGGUGUAUACAUAUCUGCUUUACUUCUAACUAUUGCACCUGACUUCGAUGCUGCUAGUGUAGGUUUGCUUUUAUCACACAAGCUUGCAUUACAGGUGCUAGUAGUAGUUUGCAGGUGCUCCAAGAGAUGUUGGGUAACGUCACUUCUGUUGAUGUUUAAACAAAACCGAGAGCUAGCUCGCCCCUCCCUCCCCUG